UCGAGAAUCUUCCGCAAUGGGCGAAAGCCUGACGGAGCGAUGCCGCGUGAGGGAUGAAGGCCUUCGGGUUGUAAACCUCUGUCGCCCGGGACGAAACCAUGACGGUACCGGGAGAGGAAGCUACGGCUAACUACGUGCCAGCAGCCGCGGUAAUACGUAGGUAGCAAGCGUUAUUCGGAUUUACUGGGCGUAAAGGGUCCGCAGGGGGUCUGCCAAGUCCGGCGUGAAAGCCCACGGCUCAACUGUGGAACGGCGCUGGAAACUGGCGGACUAGAGUGCAUGAGGGGUGAGCAGAAUUCCUGGUGUAGCGGUGGAAUGCGCAGAUAUCAGGAGGAAUACCGAUGGCGAAGGCGGCUCACUGGCGUGCAACUGACCCUCAGGGACGAAAGCGUGGGGAGCAAACAGG
rnacentral:rRNA from 1 species